rnacentral:rRNA from 1 species
UACGUAGGGUGCAAGCGUUGUCCGGAAUUAUUGGGCGUAAAGAGCGUGUAGGCGGUCCGGUAAGUCCGCUGUGAAAGUCGGGGGCUCAACCCUCGAAUGCCGGUGGAUACUGUCGGGCUAGAGUGCGGAAGAGGCGAGUGGAAUUCCUGGUGUAGCGGUGAAAUGCGCAGAUAUCAGGAGGAACACCUAUUGCGAAGGCAGCUCGCUGGGACGUAACUGACGCUGAGACGCGAAAGCGUGGGGAGCGAACAGG